rnacentral:rRNA from 1 species
AAUGAACGCUGGCGGCAGGCCUAACACAUGCAAGUCGAACGGAUCCUUCGGGAUUAGUGGCGGACGGGAGAGUAACGCGUGGGAACAUACCCUUUGGUACGGAAUAGCCUCGGGAAACUGGGAGUAAUACCGUAUGUGGUCGAGAGACGAAAGAUUUAUCGCCAAAGGAUUGGCCCGCGUUGGAUUAGGUAGUUGGUGGGGUAAUGGCCUACCAAGCCGACGAUCCAUAGCUGGUUUGAGAGGAUGAUCAGCCACACUGGGACUGAGGCACGGCCCAGACUCCUACGGGAGACAGCAGUGGGGAAUCUUAGACAAUGGGGGAAACCCUGAUCUAGCCAUGCCGCGUGAUCGAUGAAGGCCUUAGGGUUGUAAGGAUCUUUCAGGUGGGAAGAUAAUGACUGUACCACCAGAAGAAGCCCCGGCUAACUCCGUGCCAGCCGCCGCAGUAACAC